rnacentral:rRNA from 1 species
UACGGAGGGUGCAAGCGUUAAUCGGAAUUACUGGGCGUAAAGCGUACGUAGGCGGCUUGUUAAGCAAGAUGUGAAAUCCCCGGGCUCAACCUGGGAAUGGCAUUUUGAACUGGCAGGCUCGAGUUCUGAAGAGGGUGGUAGAAUUUCCAGUGUAGCGGUGAAAUGCGUAGAUAUUGGAAGGAACACCAGUGGCGAAGGCGGCUUCCUGGCCUGUUACUGACGCUGAGAUGCGAAAGCGUGGGGAGCGAACGGG